UGGUCAAAUGAACAGUGUGAAGUCGUGCAAGGGGGCACGACUUCUUCAUUAGAAGUCGUUUUGGCCCCCCACAACUUUCCUUUGACGUUGAUUUUGCCCAUUUUGGUAAUAUAGUAGGCAAAUUUGCCUACUAGACUGCAAAAACCGGAAUAGGAAGAUCCAAAGAAAGUUAAGCUCAAAGAUCUUGACAUUGUGAGGUGAAUAAUUAUGAUAAAUAUACAGAGAGAUUGGAAAAAGACUAAAUCUUAAUGUAGUUAAUAGUUUUUGCAAUUCAAUCCAAACAAAAAUUACAGUACCUCGUUAAAAAAAAUAUAAAAAAGCUCUUAAAACUCAUAAA
rnacentral:lncRNA from 1 species